UCAAUUCAACUCAAUUUUUCUGCCAAAGUAACAACAAAUCCAUUUUACUACAAUUUUAGCUCACAGGCAUUCAUCAAUUUUCUCUAUAAAUUGAUAACAAAAAAUCAGAGCAAAAAUCAGCAAUACCUCCAUUCUCAAUUUAUCACCAUCUUCUCUAAAUCAUCAUCAUCAUCCACACCAACAAAAAUAGCAACACGAGCUUCAUCUCCGACCAAACCCCAUCGCCGCCAUGGUUAUUCUCCCUAUCUGAUUUCUCGAUCUUGCCAUGAAAGAGUAUGGCGACAAUGAUAAUAAACUAGAUCUGGUUGUUUCCAUACUGCGAACAAAAGUAACAUCUGAGUAAGCACCGUCACGAGAAGUCGAUUCCGGCCAGGGAGAACGCCAGUUGUCGAAUGAAGGAGGACGAGACUUAUNNNNN
rnacentral:lncRNA from 1 species